rnacentral:rRNA from 1 species
AGCAGCCGCGGUAAUUCCAGCUCCAAUAGCGUAUAUUAAAGUUGUUGCAGUUAAAAAGCUCGUAGUUGAAUUUCGGGAUCAGUACGCUGGUCGUGCCUUCGGUAUGUACUGGUGUUACUGGUUCCUACCUUCUGACGAACCGUCAUGUCAUUAAUUUGGUGUGGCGGGGAAUCAGGACUGUUACUUUGAAAAAAUUGAGUGUUUAAAGCAGGCUCGCGCUUGAAUACAUUAGCAUGGAAUAAUGAAAUAGGACGUUCGAUCCUAUUUUGUUGGUUUCUAGGAUUGACGUAAUGAUUAAUAGGGAUAGUUGGGGGCAUUAGUAUUCAAUUGUCAGAGGUGAAAUUCUUGGAUUUAUUGAAGACUAACUACUGCGAAAGCAUUUGCCAAGGAUGUUUUCAUUAAUCAAGAACGAAAGUUAGGGAUCGAAGACGAUCAGAUACCGUCGUAGUCUUAACCAUAAACUAUAGCCGACUAGGGAUCGGAUGAUGUUAAUUUUUAAUGGCUCAUUCGGCNCCUUAAC